UCGAACGGAAAGGCCCCUUCGGGGGUACUCGAGUGGCGAACGGGUGAGUAACACGUGGGUAAUCUGCCCUGCACACUGGGAUAAGCCUGGGAAACUGGGUCUAAUACCGGAUAGGACCUCUCGGCGCAUGCCUAAGAGGUGGAAAGCUUUUGCGGUGUGGGAUGGGCCCGCGGCCUAUCAGCUUGUUGGUGGGGUGACGGCCUACCAAGGCGACGACGGGUAGCCGGCCUGAGAGGGUGUCCGGCCACACUGGGACUGAGAUACGGCCCAGACUCCUACGGGAGGCAGCAGUGGGGAAUAUUGCACAAUGGGCGCAAGCCUGAUGCAGCGACGCCGCGUGGGGGAUGACGGCCUUCGGGUUGUAAACCUCUUUCACCAUCGACGAAGGUCUGGGGUUCCUCAGGCUGACGGUAGGUGGAGAAGAAGCACCGGCCAACUACGUGCCAGCAGCCGCGGUAAUACGUAGGGUGCGAGCGUUGUCCGGAAUUACUGGGCGUAAAGAGCUCGUAGGUGGUUUGUCGCGUUGUUCGUGAAAUCUCACGGCUUAACUGUGAGCGUGCGGGCGAUACGGGCAGACUAGAGUACUGCAGGGGAGACUGGAAUUCCUGGUGUAGCGGUGGAAUGCGCAGAUAUCAGGAGGAACACCGGUGGCGAAGGCGGGUCUCUGGGCAGUAACUGACGCUGAGGAGCGAAAGCGUGGGGAGCGAACAGGAUUAGAUACCCUGGUAGUCCACGCCGUAAACGGUGGGUACUAGGUGUGGGUUUCCUUCCUUGGGAUCCGUGCCGUAGCUAACGCAUUAAGUACCCCGCCUGGGGAGUACGGCCGCAAGGCUAAAACUCAAAGGAAUUGACGGGGGCCCGCACAAGCGGCGGAGCAUGUGGAUUAAUUCGAUGCAACGCGAAGAACCUUACCUGGGUUUGACAUGCACAGGACGCGUCUAGAGAUAGGCGUUCCCUUGUGGCCUGUGUGCAGGUGGUGCAUGGCUGUCGUCAGCUCGUGUCGUGAGAUGUUGGGUUAAGUCCCGCAACGAGCGCAACCCUUGUCUCAUGUUGCCAGCGGGUAAUGCCGGGGACUCGUGAGAGACUGCCGGGGUCAACUCGGAGGAAGGUGGGGAUGACGUCAAGUCAUCAUGCCCCUUAUGUCCAGGGCUUCACACAUGCUACAAUGGCCGGUACAAAGGGCUGCGAUGCCGCGAGGUUAAGCGAAUCC
rnacentral:rRNA from 1 species